UCAACCCCUGGUGUCUCCAGGCAGAGGUCACUCUUUGAAACCUUGGAGAGCCACUGCCAGUUAGUACAGGCCUUGAGGGAUCAAUGCACAUUGCUUCUGAAUUCACACAUUCGGAGCCCUAGCUUAGAUGUCUGUACCUGACAGAUGUAGCACAACCAAAUGAGAAAUGUGCAAUGCAAUUACCUAGCUACUGAGUGACCACAAUCAGCAAGCUGGAAGUAUGAAUCUGUCUUUGGUUAUCGGUUCCUUUGAGGAGGAGGAUCCGCUGAACCUCUUUGCUGAAAAAAUAAUGAGCUUUGAGAAGUAAACUUACAGCACAAUGCCUUCUGUAGCCUCCGGAUUUUGAUGGCUGUGCGAUAAGCAGAAAAGCGCACGUUGUUCAAAUCAGCUGAAAAAUGGCAAAGGGCAGAAAUGUAAGAGUAUUAUAAGGAACCAUUUUGUUCAAUGUCAUGUCGUCAUGAAUUUGUUGUCAGUUAAAGCACGUGCACACACGUGAACACACACACACCCGAGACAAAAGAAGGGGGGGAAGGGAAGCAGUACUUUAUAUCAAGCUAAAUUGAUUUUAAGGUCUGUUUCCAGUCAAAAUAGUGAAAGAGAUUACAACACCUAUAAAACAUUUUUAAAAGUUCUGCCAAUACUUCCAGGAUAGAAAUGCGCAAGUAAAAUCUGCCUGUGCCUGGAACCUAUAGCUUUCAUGUAGCAAAAUACAGAGAUGCCCUAACACAAGUGUGCCUGCCAGCUAAGACAUUUCAUGGGCAUCGUAUGAGGCCUUAGUAAAUAAACAAUAUGCCAUGCCCCCACAACAUUCAUUUUGUAACCGGCACUAA